GAUGAAGACGUAGUGAAAUGCGAUAAUUAAUGUGAAUUGCAGAAUUCCGUGAAUCAUCGAGUCUUUGAACGCACAUUGCGCCUCAUGGCAUUCCGUGAGGCAUGCCCAUCUCAGCGUUAGAAAAUAUUCUCAAAUUUUAGUUUUGUGCUAAAAUUUGGAUCAUGUCAAAGAAGCUAUUACUAUUAUUGUGAUCGCUCUUUGGAAAUUGAUAGGUCUUUGAGUUGCUACUCAUAGAACGUGAUGAAUCUUUCUUCGUUCUAUUGUAAUUCACUCUGGUAGUCCUAAAACUUGUAUGCCUGUGGCAUAUCUUGUAAUUUGACCUGAGAUUGGGUAGGGAUACCCGCUGAACUUAAGCAUAUCAAUAAGCGGAGGA
rnacentral:misc_RNA from 1 species